GUGUGAGUGUGUGUGUGUGUGAGUGUGUGUGUGUGUGGGUAGGACAGAGAAAUGGACUGCUGGGAAAAGCUGGCAGCAUUUUGAAAUGGGUAGAAUGAUAGAAUAAUGUCAUGGGAAAUGUGUUUGUGUGUAUGAGUUAGGCUUAACCAUUCAUUCUUUGCACUAUGCACUUUGAGAAGUAUGUACCUCAACUUCAUGAUAUCAUUUGGCAUUGUACACAAGCAAACACUUUAUGUGUGUAUAUGUGUGUGUGUGCAUAUGUGUGUGCGUGUGCAAGUGUGCGUGUGUGUUUAUCAGAAAGUGAAAAUAGAGCACCACUCUAAAAGACAUUCAUCAGAUCACAUUGCCCUUCACGGUUUAAACAAUCACAAACAAACUACGAUUCCCAUCAUGCAGCAUUCCUGCCAUUUUCCCAUCAGUAUCCCAGACUCCACAUCAGCCUAUGUGUCUCAAAGUGCACACAAUACGUGGCAUUAUAAAACUGACCAUUCAUAGACAUGCAUAGACUUCAGGAAGUAAGGCAGUCAUUCUCAGGUAGGUAUGCUACCCCCUUUAGUACUAUAUACCUGUAGUACACUGAGCGAGGAUACUAGCUAAGUGAUGAUACCACGUAGUGUCCUUAAAAUAAGGAGACAGCAGCUGAACACUGGAACAUUCCUCCCUGAGGGAGAUGCUGGAUAACACUGUUGGCCACCCCCCCUCUCU
ensembl:lncRNA